rnacentral:rRNA from 1 species
UACGUAGGGUGCGAGCGUUAAUCGGAAUUACUGGGCGUAAAGUGUGCGCAGGCGGCAGAGCAAGUCGAGUGUGAAAGCCCCGGGCUUAACUUGGGAAUUGCGCUCGAAACUACUUUGCUGGAGUGUGGCAGAGGAAGGUGGAAUUCCACGUGUAGCGGUGAAAUGACGUAGAGAUGUGGAGGAACACCAAUGGCGAAGGCAGCCUUCUGGGCCAACACUGACGCUCAUGCACGAAAGCGUGGGGAGCAAACAGG